rnacentral:rRNA from 1 species
UGAAUACGAGACGCUAAGGCGUUGAAGUAGUGUAUAUCAUACUUCCAAGAAAAGCUUGCACUGUCAUAGAUAAAAAACGCCUGUACCAUAACCGACACAGGUGGGUAGGUAGAGUAUACUAAGGGGCGCGAGAUAACUCUCUCUAAGGAACUCGGCAAAAUAACUCCGUAACUUCGGGAGAAGGAGUGCCUUAUUUAUAAGGUUGCAAUAACAAGAUCCAAGCAACUGUUUAUCAAAAACACAGGUCUCCGCUAAGUCGUAAGACGAUGUAUGGGGGCUGACGCCUGCCCAGUGCCAGAAGGUUAAAGAAGUUGGUUAGCAAUAGCGAAGCUGAUAACUGAAGCCCUGGUGAACGGCGGCCGUAACUAUAACGGUCCUAAGGUAGCGAAAUUCCUUAUCGGGUAAGUUCCGACCCGCACGAAAGGCGUAAUGAUUUGGAUACUGUCUCGGAGAGGGGCUCGGUGAAAUAGACUUGUCUGUGAAGAUGCGGACUACCUGCACCAGGACAGAAAGACCCUAUGAAGCUUUACUGUAACUUGAAAUUGAAAUUGGACUUUAUUCGCGCAGUAUAGGUGGGAGGCGUUGAUUGUAAUCUUGCGGGAUUAUUGGAGCCAUCAGUGAGAUACCACCCUUGUAAUGUUAGAUUUCUAACUUUGAAUCAUUAUCUGGUCAAAGAACAGUUUCAGGCGGGCAGUUUGACUGGGGCGGUCGCCUCCUAAACGGUAACGGAGGCGUACAAAGGUUUCCUCUGAACGGUUAGAAAUCGUAUCUAGAGUGUAAAGGCAUAAGGAAGCUUGACUGUGAGACCUACAAGUCGAGCAGGGACGAAAGUCGGUCUUAGUGAUCUGACGGUACUGAGUGGAAAGGCCGUCACUCAACGGAUAAAAGUUACUCUAGGAUAACAGGCUGAUCUCCCCCAAGAGUUCACAUCGACGGGGAGGUUUGGCUCCUUGAUGUCGGCUCAUCGCAUCCUGGGGCGGUAGUACGUCCCAAGGGUUGGGCUGUUCGCCCAUGAAAGCGGUACGCGAGCUGGGUUCAGAACGUCGUGAGACAGUUCGGUCCAUAUCCGGUGUAGGCGUUAGAAUAUUGAGAGGAGCCUUCUUUAGUACGAGAGGACCGAGAAGGACAUACCUCUGGUGUACCAGUUAUCGUGCCAACGGUAAACGCUGGGUAGCUAUGUAUGGAGUGGAUAACCGCUGAAAGCAUCUAAGUGGGAAGCCCACCUCAAGAUAAG